rnacentral:lncRNA from 1 species
GACUGUGAAUGCAGCCCGUGAAAAAGAGGGUUUUCGGAAGCUUGACAUUUAUGAGGGUGAGGAAUUGACAAGCCGACAUCAGUCUCCAGAGUGAAUCCAAGGAGUGGACCCAAGACAUUUGUGUUCUGUGAUGUGGUGGCAUGUUACCUGUCAUCUCCGAUGCAUAACUCCUAAAGUGCGUCUGGGGCAGUUGUACAGAUUGCAGAGGAUAAUACUCAAGAUGUUCUCCAAGGCCAACUAGUCAUCAGUUUAUUCAUGUUUCUGGGAUUGGAUUCAUGAACUCAUCCUUUGAACUAUUUCAACAAGCUUUUUCAUGUAACUAAUCUGCGGAAGGUAGAAAGGGGAAAACUGUUGGGUGCUAAAAUGACAACUGGUUCAAGGUACAAUGGCGAAUAUUUUUAUUUCUGCAACUUUUCUUAGAGGUUGGAAACUGGACUGGGCAGGAAGAUUCCUUUUUGUAAGAUUAGUCUCCAGUUUUCAUCAAGCAGUUUAGUGGGGUAUUUUAGGCCCAGUUCCCUCUCCACAGUCCCCAAAGGUCUUCUGUUAACUUUAAAUCCGCAAAGAGAGAGAUCUCUGCCAAGCAGCAACUGCAAGAGCAUGUGGGUCAAUGUUACCAGCAGACACUCAAAGCCCAUUCCCUUUACUUCAACACCGCUUUAUAAAUUAUCUUAGAGACGUUGUCAGGUUGGUAUUAGAGGUGAGUGGUCAUGACUUCACGAUUUCUCAUCUUUCUGAAUGCAUAGUGGCUGGGAGUGGUGGCUCAUGCCUGUAA